CAGUAGCCGCGGUAAUACAGAGGAUGCAAGCGUUAUCCGGAAUGAUUGGGUGUAAAGCGUCUGUAGGUGGCUUUUCAAGCCCGCCGUCAAAUCCUAGGGCUCAACCCUGGACAGGCAGUGGAAACUACCAAGCUGGAGUACGGUAGGGGUAGAGGGAAUUUCCGGUGGAGUGGUAAAAUGCGUUGAGAUCGGAAAGAACACCAAUGGCGAAAGCACUCUGCUGGGCCGACACUGACACUGAGAGACGAAAGCUAGGGGAGCAAAUGGGAUUAGAUACCCCUGUAGUCCCUGUCUCUUAUAA
rnacentral:rRNA from 1 species